UACGGGGGGGGCAAGCGUUGUUCGGAAUUACUGGGCGUAAAGGGCUCGUAGGUGGCCAACUCAGUCAGACGUGAAAUCCCUCGGCUUAACCGGGGAACUGCGUCUGAUACUGGAUGGCUUGAGGUUGGGAGAGGGAUGCGGAAUUCCAGGUGUAGCGGUGAAAUGCGUAGAUAUCUGGAGGAACACCGGUGGCGAAGGCGGCAUGCUGGACCAAUUCUGACACUGAGGAGCGAAAGCCAGGGGAGCAAACAGG
rnacentral:rRNA from 1 species